rnacentral:rRNA from 1 species
UACAGAGGGGGCAAGCGUUGUUCGGAAUUACUGGGCGUAAAGGGCGCGUAGGCGGCCUUCUAAGUCGAACGUGAAAUCCCCGGGCUCAACCCGGGAACUGCGUCCGAUACUGGAAGGCUUGAAUCCGGGAGAGGGAUGCGGAAUUCCAGGUGUAGCGGUGAAAUGCGUAGAUACCUUGCAGAACUCCGAUUGCGAAGGCAGUCCGCUAGGCUUUAACCGACGCUCAGGCACGAAAGCGUGGGGAUCAAACGGG